UGGACUGGUUCCAACUUAGAAACCAGACUGGGUCCAGGGUCAGAUUGGGCCCACUUGGAAACCAGACUGGGUCUGGGCAUGGGACUGAGUCUGACUUAGAAACUGGAUGGGUCCGGAGACAGACUGAGUGCGACUUAAAAACCUUACUGGUUCCAGGACAGACUGGGUCUGACUUAGAAACCAGACUGGGUCCAGUGUGAGGCCUCAGGUGAAUAAUAUUUCAAGACUGAACAAUUAUCAUAGGUGGAUGUUUCUGGUGACCAGGAUGAGACCUGCUGGGACACCCCACUCACUCCAGAGCCUGCAGACACCAUCCUGGAAAAACUCGCAGAAGUCAGCAAAGGAAUCACUAAGGACGAAGACUGCUCUUGAACUUCCUUGGAAGGGACCACACAAGGUCCUCCUCACUACCCAGACGGCAGCCAACCUUCAGGGUCUUAAACCUUAGGUUCACAUCCCUCAAUUAAAAAGGGCUCCUCCAGACUCUUGGAAGCGCACACCAGCUGGAGACCUAAAAUUAAAAUUGACUAGAGAGGUUCCUCCCCAGAAGCAGACGGCGUCUUGAGGUGGACAGCUCUCCCAAGAUCAUGGAUCAAGACCUUCAUCUUCAAUAUGAAACCUUUAUUCCUUUUGCCUUUCUGCUAUUUGUUUUUUUCUGUUAACGCAUGGGAAGACAGUGCUCCUUAACUCUGGCAACUAUCACUGAAUGUACUGCUAAAGGCCAUAGUUACAUAACAAAAGUCCCUCGACUUUCUUGCUAAGGUAGUUUUAGAUAAUAGAAUUGCUUUAAUUACUUCUAGCUGAACAUGGAGUCUGUGCCAUAGCAAAUAGCUCCUGCUGUACCUGGAUCAACACCUCUAGUAUUGUAGCAAAUACAGGAAAUUAACAAAAAAGCCACUUGGCUAAAACAGGUUGAUGCCUCUUCAGGUACAUUCUUUGAUUUAUUUGAUACCAAUUGGCUUGGUUCCUGGGGGCCCUAAGUCUGUUGGUGUUAUCCUCCUAAUAGUUGUCAUUGUAAUCUCCCUUGUGCACUAUGUUCUCUCAGAGAUCUUAAAUGCAUGUUCACAGCCAUCAGCAGUACAUCAGGUGGGCUCAUCGUGCCUGGACAAACAGAAACGAGAUGAACGGCAAAAAACAAUUCUUCCAUGGCUCUGACAUCAUAACCUAUGAGUUUCACAAUGAGACAAGAGCAACUUAACUCUGAUGGUGACUGAGAUUGGCACUAACAUCAAAUUUUUGGUCAAUCUCUCAUGUAUGAAAUGAUGACCAAAAGAGGGGAAUUGUUAAUUAAGCAAGGAGGCCAUUAGACUGAGGUGGCUCUAAUGCUGUGGUGGCCUAUGUAAACAAACCAAAAUCUAAGCCUCUAAAUGCCUCGAGGUUACAAAAUCAAAACUCUAAGGACCACCAAUCACAAACAGCCAACCAGACUUGAAGCUAUAGUCAAUCAAUAAUUUCCUUACUUCUGCCUCUUCUCUAUAAAAGUCUGCCUGAGCUCCUGACAGUGAAGCACUCCUAGCCACCUCGUUUGGCACUGCCAGAUUCCAACAGAUGUUUGCUCAAAUAAACUCAAAAAUUUUAAUACACUUUAGUUUAUUGUUUAACAAGUGACUUCCUCUCUGGAGCUUUUUAUGACACUCUCCCUCCUCCUCGGGGGAUGUAAGCACUUGUGUCUGCUCUCUUCUAAACCGGCUUUAUCAGAGCACGUAUGAGGCUUGCACUUGCUUGCAUGCUCCUCUGCCCCUCCUGAAAUGUGUCCUCUUUGAGGCCGGGGACAAUAUCUGUAUUCUAUUCUGUGUGUUUAGCAUCUAGCACACAGGAGGCUCAAUAAAUAUUUGUUGAAUGAAUGAAUGGGGGAGGAGAAAUGAUCCAGAAAUGCCUAAUAUUAAUAACAAGCAUUUACCCAGGACUAAUUAUACGGCAGGCAUUACACAAAGGCAUGUAUGCUGAAUGGACUGAUUUAUUCCUAAGACAGCCCUAUGAAGUAGGAGCCACUAUUAUCUUCACUUUAAAUUUAAGAAAA
ensembl:lncRNA